GUCUGGAUAGCUCAGUGGUCUAGAGCAGUUGCUCGGAAAGCGAAAGACUCGGGUUCGAUUCCCGAUUCAGCCA
rnacentral:tRNA from 1 species